GUAAAAAUGUUAAACACACCCAUUUUAUUUGUAGUUUGCUAACAGCUGAUACUAGGUGGGGUCAUUGGGCUACUGUGAUGGGUUAAAGAAGUUCCCGGGACUACUUUUGUUACGGCAGUGCACAUAGAACUUUCUUGCCAGCGUGGCUGUAAAGAAUUUCAUGUAAUGUUUCAGUUGCAUAAUGAAUUAAAAGUUCAUAUCUGAAAUCCUGAUUUUGAAUUACAUAUGAUAUCGCCGUAAGAGGUUAGCCUGUCUGAGCACCAGACAGAAUUUAGGGAAUCAAAGAGAAGAAGCUUGGGAAGAAGGGGUCCCCUGCAUCUGAUAGACGUACUUCUCCGGAAGGCGCACUCCCUAGUCAAUGCUAGUGUUUUUAAGGGACCCUGAUGGAGUAGGUUUGGGAUGUGCCCGGAGAGACUGGGACCUGGAGGAAACUCUCUUCCGGGACGAAGCUGCUGGGAGGAGGCAGAAACCCCCUUCUCGCCUCUCUCCGCUUGAGCGGCCUGCUAGUCUCUCCCAUUGUGGGCCUACACGGGAGCCGGCUGGAUGCGAGUUAGUAACGUGCGUCGCAGACUCUAUGUGGGAGGUGGCCUCAGCGCUGAGAGACGGACCAGCGAGUCAGGAAUGUGCACAGGGUACACCGAGAGUGGCUUAUUUCUGCUCUGUGAUGUCCAGACCUCAGCCGGGAAGAUCAGAAGGCUGGAGGAGCUGGGAAGUUGGGGGCUAGAGUUGCCUUAAUAUUUCUGCACUCAAGUGUCUCUGGCCUGGCCCGGAUGGCUCCGUGACUAGGACUGUCGAGCCGAGCCCCUGCACACGGCCUUCCCGGGGGGCUCGGCUUCCUCUCCGCCCGCGGUCUCUGGCGGUCCGCCUUCAGAGCCUCCCGUGUGAGGGUCCCAGCACGCAGAGCGGACGCUGCGUUCGCCUGACGUCACCCAGCGUUGGAAUCCAGAGAGCAUGACUUCGUACUCUGUUGGGUGAAGGGGUCAUAAGGCCACCUUGAUUCAAACGGAAGGAAAUAGAAGCUAGUGGGGAAGGGCAAGAUCCCAUUAUGGAUCAGGACGGAUGGCAGAGAUUUUGCGGCUCACUUGGGACGUGUCCUACGUCUGUCGCAGGGACGUGCCGUGCCUCUCUCGUUCCUACCCUGUUGUAGACUUCACACCCAAGGACGUGGCCUGGGCGGUGGUUUUUGUGAGUUUUAAUUGUAUUGUCGAAAGUGGUUUCCAUUUGUUGCUGGUUUCUUAACACUUUUUAAAAGUUAUUUUUGGAGGAA